AACUCCCAGAAUUCCUGAGCUAACGUGACUGGAGGAAGAAUUCUGGGAGUUGAAUCCACAAGUCUUAAAGCUGUCAAGUUUGAAGACCCCCUGCCGUAUACAGUAGUGAUUGUGGUGGAAUCUGUGUUUUGAACCCGGCACCUUUACAAUGGGCCAAGGACUUUUCAAACUCUCUCACCCAGAGGGUAUGCCAGGUGCCUUCGAAGCUGUUGAAUUGUAGGAUUUGAAAUGAGUCUUCCAACGUAAAGUUGCUGCUAAAGCACAUUUUAAGGAAAACCCAGAUUUUACCAAAUGCUUACACACACGUUUAACUUGCAAACACGGAAGCUUUGAUUUGAAACGAUCCAUUGAAACGUGCCUUUCCGAGAGUUUCUUAAUCUGGAAAAAAAAAUGCCUAACAUUUCUUGUGCUGCUGGCCAAAACAAGUGUGUGCGUUGUGCUGUGACUGUGAGUUGUUUGUUAUGGUCCUCCAAAGCCUUCUAUGGUUUGAGAAUAUGAUUGGCAAAUGUUAACAAAGCA